GACGAACGCUGGCGGCGUGCCUAAUACAUGCAAGUCGAGCGCAGGAAGCUGACGGAACUCUUCGGAGGGAAGGCAGUGGAAUGAGCGGCGGACGGGUGAGUAACACGUAAGGAACCUGCCUCAAGGAUUGGGAUAACUCCGAGAAAUCGGAGCUAAUACCGGAUAGUUCAACGGACCGCAUGGUCCGCUGAUGAAAGGCGCUUCGGCGUCACCUUGAGAUGGCCUUGCGGUGCAUUAGCUAGUUGGUGGGGUAACGGCCCACCAAGGCGACCGUGCAGAGCCGACCUGAGAGGGUGAUCGGCCACACUGGGACUGAGACACGGCCCAGACUCCUACGGGAGGCAGCAGUAGGGAAUCUUCCACAAUGGACGAAAGUCUGAUGGAGCAACGCCGCGUGAGUGAUGAAGGUUUUCGGAUCGUAAAACUCUGUUGUAAGGGAAGAACACGUACGAGAGGUAAUGCUCGUACCUUGACGGUACCUUACGAGAAAGCCACGGCUAACUACGUGCCAGCCGCCGCCGUAAUAC
rnacentral:rRNA from 1 species